rnacentral:rRNA from 1 species
GACGAACGCUGGCGGCGUGCUUAACACAUGCAAGUCGUACGGUAAGGCCCUUUCGGGGGUCCCCGAGUGGCGAACGGGUGAGUAACACGUGAGUAACCUGCCCACAACUUUGGGAUAACGAUAGGAAACUGGUGCUAAUACUGGAUAUGUGCUCCUGCUGCAUGGUGGGGGUUGGAAAGCUCCGGCGGUUGUGGAUGGACUCGCGGCCUAUCAGCUUGUUGGUGGGGUAGUGGCCUACCAAGGCGGCGACGGGUAGCCGGCCUGAGAGGGUGACCGGCCACAUUGGGACUGAGAUACGGCCCAGACUCCUACGGGAGGCAGCAGUGGGGAAUAUUGCACAAUGGGCGCAAGCCUGAUGCAGCAACGCCGCGUGCGGGAUGACGGCCUUCGGGUUGUAAACCGCUUUCAGCAGGGACGAAGCUUUUUGUGACGGUACCUGCAGAAGAAGCACCGGCUAACUACGUG